rnacentral:rRNA from 1 species
UACGUAGGCAGCAAGCGUUGUUCGGAAUUACUGGGCGUAAAGAGUGUGUAGGCGGUGCUCCAAGUCUGGUGUGAAAUCUCUCGGCUUAACCGGGAGUGGUCGUCGGAUACUGCACAACUAGAGGACGGUAGAGGCGGUGUGGAAUUCCGGGUGUAGUGGUGAAAUGCGUAGAGAUCCGGAGGAACACCAGUGGCGAAGGCGACACGCUGGGCCGUACCUGACACUGAGGCGCGAUAGCAUGGGGAGCAAACAGG